GCAAAACAACUAUAUCAGUCUAAAGGAUAUAUUUAUUGAUUUACUGACCUUGCCGUGCGGAGCUGCCUCUCAUGCUGCUCCUCCUUAUGCUCAAUAAAUCCUUGAUUGAUCUGUCCGGAGCGACAGAUCUAUCAUGCUCAAAAAAUGUGACAGCUUCUGGCCGAAGCGACAGAAGUGCCGACUCACUAUUAGAGUCUGAUUCUGGCCGAAGCAACAGAAUGCGUGGAUUCACUAUUAGAAUCUGAUUCUGGCCGN
rnacentral:lncRNA from 1 species